UUAAGCGACUAAGCGUACACGGUGGAUGCCCUGGCAGUCAGAGGCGAUGAAGGACGUGCUAAUCUGCGAAAAGCGUCGGUAAGGUGAUAUGAACCGUUAUAGCCGGCGAUGUCCGAAUGGGGAAACCCAGUGUGAUUCGUCACACUAUCGUUAACUGAAUACAUAGGUUAACGAGGCGAACCGGGGGAACUGAAACAUCUAAGUACCCCGAGGAAAAGAAAUCAACCGAGAUUCCCCCAGUAGCGGCGAGCGAACGGGGAGCAGCCCAGAGUCUGAAUCAGCUUGUGUGUUAGUGGAACGGUCUGGAAAGUCCGACGGUACAGGGUGAUAGUCCCGUACACCAAAAUGCACAGGCUGUGAACUCGAAGAGUAGGGCGGGACACGUGGUAUCCUGUCUGAAUAUGGGGGGACCAUCCUCCAAGGCUAAAUACUCCUGACUGACCGAUAGUGAACCAGUACCGUGAGGGAAAGGCGAAAAGAACCCCGGCGAGGGGAGUGAAAAAGAACCUGAAACCGUGUACGUACAAGCAGUGGGAGCACCUUUAUGGUGUGACUGCGUACCUUUUGUAUAAUGGGUCAGCGACUUAUAUUCUGUAGCAAGGUUAACCGUAUAGGGGAGCCGCAGGGAAACCGAGUCUUAACUGGGCGUUAAGUUGCAGGGUAUAGACCCGAAACCCGGUGAUCUAGCCAUGGGCAGGUUGAAGGUUGGGUAACACUAACUGGAGGACCGAACCGACUAAUGUUGAAAAAUUAGCGGAUGACUUGUGGCUGGGGGUGAAAGGCCAAUCAAACCGGGAGAUAGCUGGUUCUCCCCGAAAGCUAUUUAGGUAGCGCCUCGUGAACUCAUCUUCGGGGGUAGAGCACUGUUUCGGCUAGGGGGUCAUCCCGACUUACCAACCCGAUGCAAACUACGAAUACCGAAGAAUGUUAUCACGGGAGACACACGGCGGGUGCUAACGUCCGUCGUGAAGAGGGAAACAACCCAGACCGCCAGCUAAGGUCCCAAAGUCAUGGUUAAGUGGGAAACGAUGUGGGAAGGCACAGACAGCCAGGAUGUUGGCUUAGAAGCAGCCAUCAUUUAAAGAAAGCGUAAUAGCUCACUGGUCGAGUCGGCCUGCGCGGAAGAUGUAACGGGGCUAAACCAUGCACCGAAGCUGCGGCAGCGACACGAUGUGUUGUUGGGUAGGGGAGCGUUCUGUAAGCCUGCGAAGGUGGCCUGUGAGGGUUGCUGGAGGUAUCAGAAGUGCGAAUGCUGACAUAAGUAACGAUAAAGCGGGUGAAAAGCCCGCUCGCCGGAAGACCAAGGGUUCCUGUCCAACGUUAAUCGGGGCAGGGUGAGUCGACCCCUAAGGCGAGGCCGAAAGGCGUAGUCGAUGGGAAACAGGUUAAUAUUCCUGUACUUGGUGUUACUGCGAAGGGGGGACGGAGAAGGCUAUGUUAGCCGGGCGACGGUUGUCCCGGUUUAAGCAUGUAGGCUGGUUAUCCAGGCAAAUCCGGAUAAUCAAGGCUGAGGUGUGAUGACGAGGCACUACGGUGCUGAAGUAACAAAUGCCCUGCUUCCAGGAAAAGCCUCUAAGCAUCAGGUAACAUCAAAUCGUACCCCAAACCGACACAGGUGGUCAGGUAGAGAAUACCAAGGCGCUUGAGAGAACUCGGGUGAAGGAACUAGGCAAAAUGGUGCCGUAACUUCGGGAGAAGGCACGCUGGUGUGUAGGUGAAGUCCCUGCGGAUGGAGCUGAGACCAGUCGAAGAUACCAGCUGGCUGCAACUGUUUAUUAAAAACACAGCACUGUGCAAACACGAAAGUGGACGUAUACGGUGUGACGCCUGCCCGGUGCCGGAAGGUUAAUUGAUGGGGUUAUCCGUAAGGAGAAGCUCUUGAUCGAAGCCCCGGUAAACGGCGGCCGUAACUAUAACGGUCCUAAGGUAGCGAAAUUCCUUGUCGGGUAAGUUCCGACCUGCACGAAUGGCGUAAUGAUGGCCAGGCUGUCUCCACCCGAGACUCAGUGAAAUUGAACUCGCUGUGAAGAUGCAGUGUACCCGCGGCAAGACGGAAAGACCCCGUGAACCUUUACUAUAGCUUGACACUGAACAUUGAGCCUUGAUGUGUAGGAUAGGUGGGAGGCUUUGAAGCGUGGACGCCAGUCUGCGUGGAGCCAACCUUGAAAUACCACCCUUUAAUGUUUGAUGUUCUAACGUUGGCCCCUUAUCGGGGUUGCGGACAGUGUCUGGUGGGUAGUUUGACUGGGGCGGUCUCCUCCCAAAGCGUAACGGAGGAGCACGAAGGUUAGCUAAUCCUGGUCGGACAUCAGGAGGUUAGUGCAAUGGCAUAAGCUAGCUUGACUGCGAGCGUGACGGCGCGAGCAGGUGCGAAAGCAGGUCAUAGUGAUCCGGUGGUUCUGAAUGGAAGGGCCAUCGCUCAACGGAUAAAAGGUACUCCGGGGAUAACAGGCUGAUACCGCCCAAGAGUUCAUAUCGACGGCGGUGUUUGGCACCUCGAUGUCGGCUCAUCACAUCCUGGGGCUGAAGUAGGUCCCAAGGGUAUGGCUGUUCGCCAUUUAAAGUGGUACGCGAGCUGGGUUUAGAACGUCGUGAGACAGUUCGGUCCCUAUCUGCCGUGGGCGCUGGAGAAUUGAGGGGGGCUGCUCCUAGUACGAGAGGACCGGAGUGGACGCAUCACUGGUGUUCGGGUUGUCAUGCCAAUGGCACUGCCCGGUAGCUAAAUGCGGAAGAGAUAAGUGCUGAAAGCAUCUAAGCACGAAACUUGCCCCGAGAUGAGUUCUCCCUGAGACUUUAAGUCUCCUGAAGGAACGUUGAAGACGACGACGUUGAUAGGCCGGGUGUGUAAGCGCAGCGAUGCGUUGAGCUAACCGGUACUAAUGAACCGUGAGGCUUAACCUU
rnacentral:rRNA from 1 species